rnacentral:misc_RNA from 1 species
UCCUGGUUAACCCAGGCAGUCUCAUUAGAGUUCCCACCUAAAAUGCUGGCAACUAAUGAUAAGGGUUGCGCUCGUUGCGGGACUUAACCCAACACCUCACGGCACGAGCUGACGACAGCCAUGCAGCACCUGUGCAGAAGCCCCGAAGGGAGGUCCUAUCUCUAGAACUGUCCUCUGCAUGUCAAGUCUGGGUAAGGUUCUUCGCGUUGCAUCGAAUUAAACCACAUGCUCCACUGCUUGUGCGGGUCCCCGUCAAUUCUUUUGAGUUUCAGCCUUGCGACUGUACUUCCCAGGCGGUAUACUUAUCGCGUUAGCUUCGGCACAACUGGGGUUGAUUCCAGCUACACCAAGUAUACAUAGUUUACGGCAAGGACUAC